GAUGAACGCUAGCUACAGGCUUAACACAUGCAAGUCGAGGGGCAGCAUGGUCUUAGCUUGCUAAGGCCGAUGGCGACCGGCGCACGGGUGAGUAACACGUAUCCAACCUGCCGUCUACUCUUGGACAGCCUUCUGAAAGGAAGAUUAAUACAAGAUGGCAUCAUGAGUCCGCAUGUUCACAUGAUUAAAGGUAUUCCGGUAGACGAUGGGGAUGCGUUCCAUUAGAUAGUAGGCGGGGUAACGGCCCACCUAGUCUUCGAUGGAUAGGGGUUCUGAGAGGAAGGUCCCCCACAUUGGAACUAAAACACGGUCCAAACUCCUACGGGAGGCAGCAGUGAGGAAUAUUGGUCAAUGGGCGAGAGCCUGAACCAGCCAAGUAGCGUGAAGGAUGACUGCCCUAUGGGUUGUCAACUUCUUUUAUAAAGGAAUAAAGUCGGGUAUGCAUACCCGUUUGCAUGUACUUUAUGAAUAAGGAUCGGCUAACUCCGUGCCAGCCGCCGCCGUAACAC
rnacentral:rRNA from 1 species